rnacentral:rRNA from 1 species
AGAGCUAGUAGUCGGUUCUGUCGCGUCGUAGUGAAAGUCCGGGGCUAACCCCGGAUCUGCGGUGGGUACGGGCAGACUAGACCGCAGUAGGGGAGACUGGAAUUCCUGGUGUAGCGGUGGAAAUGCGCAGAUAUCAGGAGGAACACCGAUGGCGAAGGCAGGUCUCUGGGCUGUAACUGACGCUGAGGAGCGAAAGCAUGGGGAGCGAACAGGAUUAGAUACCCUGGUAGUCCAUGCCGUAAACGUUGGGCACUAGGUGUGGGGACCAUUCCACGGUUUCCGCGCCGCAGCUAACGCAUUAAGUGCCCCGCCUGGGGAGUACGGCCGCAAGGCUAAAACUCAAAGGAAUUGACGGGGGCCCGCACAAGCGGCGGAGCAUGCGGAUUAAUUCGAUGCAACGCGAAGAACCUUACCAAGGCUUGACAUGUUCUCGAUCGCCGUAGAGAUACGGUUUCCCCUUUGGGGCGGGUUCACAGGUGGUGCAUGGUUGUCGUCAGCUCGUGUCGUGAGAUGUUGGGUUAAGUCCCGCAACGAGCGCAACCCUCGUUCCAUGUUGCCAGCACGUCGUGGUGGGGACUCAUGGGAGACUGCCGGGGUCAACUCGGAGGAAGGUGAGGACGACGUCAAAUCAUCAUGCCCCUUAUGUCUUGGGCUUCACGCAUGCUACAAUGGCCGGUACAAUGGGUUGCGAUACUGUGAGGUGGAGCUAAUCCCAAAAAGCCGGUCUCAGUUCGGAUUGGGGUCUGCAACUCGACCCCAUGAAGUCGGAGUCGCUAGUAAUCGCAGAUCAGCAACGCUGCGGUGAAUACGUUCCCGGGCCUUGUACACACCGCCCGUCAAGUCACGAAAGUUGGUAACACCCGAAGCCGGUGGCCU